AACGAACGCUGGCGGCAGGCCUAACACAUGCGAGUCGAACGAGCUGAGACCUUCGGGUCUCGAUGCUAGUGGCGCACGGGUGAGUAACGCGUGGGAACGUACCCUUUAGUACGGAAUAACCAAGGGAAACUUUGGCUAAUACCGUAUACGCCCUUCGGGGGAAAGAUUUAUCGCUAAAGGAUCGGCCCGCGUCUGAUUAGGUAGUUGGUGAGGUAACGGCUCACCAAGCCGACGAUCAGUAGCUGGUCUGAGAGGAUGAUCAGCCACACUGGGACUGAGACACGGCCCAGACUCCUACGGGAGGCAGCAGUGGGGAAUAUUGGACAAUGGGCGAAAGCCUGAUCCAGCCAUGCCGCGUGAGUGAAGAAGGCCUUCGGGUUGUAAAGCUCUUUCGACGGGGACGAUGAUGACGGUACCCGUAUAAGAAGCCCCGGCAAACUUCGUGCCAGCAGCCGCAGUAA
rnacentral:rRNA from 1 species